AACCCCACCUUUUAUCAGCAGGUGAUGCUCAGCGCCAGCAGCAGCCCAACACCCCCACAAUCAGCCAGCAUCAAGCAGAGCGUAAAGUAAAGCGGUGUACCACUGGUGAUGUGAUAAAGCUUUAAGCCUGUAAGAUGAGGUGUUGAGUGAGGGGGGCGGAGCUGAGUGUGUGUAGAGAGUAGAGAGGAUCAGCACACUGUCAUGCUGGUGUACUAAAGAGCUGAAACUCAGUGUGUUCUUCUCCCAGUGUGUGCUACACCACCAUGAUCAUUUUCACUGUACUGCUGCUCUCUGCUCUUACAGGUAACAGAGCUGAAGACGUCAUCACUCCUAGCAGAGACGCUGUUUUUGCUGUUGAAGGUCAGAAUGUUACCCUCUCCUGUAACUACACUGUAACUGCUGACAGUCUUCACUGGUAUCGACAGUAUUCAGGAUCAUCUCCUCAGUUCCUCAUACUGGACUAUGCAGGAAUCAUUACUAAAGCUCAACCUCCAGUUCCUAGAAUAUCCAUUAACCAUCAAAAAGAAAAGAGGAAAGUGGAUCUGAUCAUCUCCUCUACUGCAGUAUCAGACUCUGCUCUCUACUACUGCGCUCUGCAGCCCACAGUGACAGAAACCCACCAAACACUGUACUAAAACUUUACUUGUGAAAUAUGUAGAAACACUUAUAUUUCAGGAGGGGGCGCUGUUUCUCUUCUGCUUCUUUAUCUUCAGCUUCCUCACCAUUCAGGUUAGAACAUCAGUCUGCUUUGGGACAUCAGUCAUCAUGUUGUGACCUACAGUAAACUGGAACUCUCUAUAACCCUUUAUAAAUGUUUACAGAUACUUCUGUAAAAUAUGUUACAUUAUAUUGUUUGUAGAAACAUAUUAACUCUGAUUUUUAUUCACUUUUUAUAGACUAUUUCAAUUAACUUCCUCAUUUCAAGAGAAAUGCAUUGUUUAAGUUGACACCACACGAAUUCAAUGAACACCCUAUGGCAUGAUGUUGCCCACAGUUCAGAGAACAGUCUCCCCGGACUAUUAAGGGCGACUCCGCUCUCUUACACCUGA